UACGUAGGGCGCAAGCGUUGUCCGGAAUUAUUGGGCGUAAAGAGCUCGUAGGCGGUCUGUCGCGUCCGUUGUGAAAACUCGAGGCUCAACCUCGGGCUUGCAGUGGAUACGGGCAGACUAGAGUGCGGAAGGGGCAACUGGAAUUCUCGGUGUAGCGGUGAAAUGCGUAGAUAUCGGGAGGAAUACCCGUGGCGAAGGCGGUCCACUGGGCAUCAACUGACGCUGAGGCGCGAAAGCGUGGGUAGCAAACAGG
rnacentral:rRNA from 1 species